UUAGUAUUUAAAAUUAUUUAAUCAGUUCCUUAUGAAAUAUUUAUCAUUACGAUCCUAAAUUUAUAACUUUCAAAUGCAAUCAACUUAAUAAUCUUAAUAUCGAUAUCAAUAAAUCUCAGGUGCUAAAAUCGGUUUACAGUCACACGAUUUGCUGGAAUAGUAACCAUUAUCGGUCAAACGGAUAUUAUGGGUGGUUAACCUCUAUUGAUUAAAAACUCUAUCGGUGCAUGGCACCUUAUUUUAAAAUUAUAGAUACGUAAAAUAAUGCAGAACGACUGAUUACAGAUACUUCUAAUCGUUCCUUAACUUUUUACUGUGCACCAAGUGGACAGCCUUUUGGCGUUUGUU
ensembl:ncRNA lncRNA:CR44714 long non-coding RNA:CR44714